CGGGACCUCAGGUCAGGCGGGGCUACCCGCUGAGU
rnacentral:rRNA from 1 species